rnacentral:rRNA from 1 species
CAGCAGCCGCGGUAAUACGGAGGGGGCUAGCGUUGUUCGGAAUUACUGGGCGUAAAGCGCUCGUAGGCGGCUUGGUAAGUUAGAGGUGAAAGCCCGGAGCUCAACUCCGGAAUUGCCUUUAAGACUGCCGAGCUAGUAGGUGAGAGAGGUAAGUGGAAUUCCGAGUGUAGAGGUGAAAUUCGUAGAUAUUCGGAAGAACACCAGUGGCGAAGGCGGCUUACUGGCUCAUUCUAGACGCUGAGGUGCGAAAGCGUGGGGAGCAAACAGGAUUAGAUACCCGAGUAGUCCCUGUCUCUUAUAC